rnacentral:rRNA from 1 species
GUCCACGCUGUAAACGAUGAUUACUAGGUGUGGGGGACUGACCCCUUCCGUGCCGCAGUUAACACAAUAAGUAAUCCACCUGGGGAGUACGGCCGCAAGGUUGAAACUCAAAGGAAUUGACGGGGGCCCGCACAAGCAGUGGAGUAUGUGGUUUAAUUCGAAGCAACGCGAAGAACCUUACCAGGUCUUGACAUCCUAAGAAUCCUUCAGAGAUGAGGGAGUGCCUUUCGGGGAACUUAGAGACAGGUGGUGCAUGGUUGUCGU